GGGUCGAUGCCCGAGCGGUUAAUGGGGACGGACCUAUAAAUUCGUUGGCAAUAUGUCUACGCUGGUUCAAAUCCAGCUCGGCCCA
rnacentral:tRNA from 1 species